rnacentral:piRNA from 1 species
UCACCAGUAGAAAUGAGUGCUGUUAGUA